rnacentral:SRP_RNA from 1 species
UUCCAGAGGCUGCGGAAUAUCGGCUUGCGAACCCCGCCAGGGCCGGAAGGCAGCAACGGUAGCCUGUCCGGGAUUGCCGCAGUUCUCUGGCACUU